AAUAAGUAAGUGUUGUGGGGUUCGGGACAUAGCCCCUUCCCCGCAUCCGGUGCCAGUGCUCAUGCUCGGCUCACCGGGCUUCAAACUGUGCUCGGCCUGUCACAGGCCAAUGCCGACAGGAGACUCGCACAACUCCUGUU